UACGUAGGGUGCAAGCGUUGUCCGGAAUUAUUGGGCGUAAAGAGCUCGUAGGCGGUCUGUCGCGUCGGCUGUGAAAUCCCGAGGCUCAACCUCGGGUCUGCAGUCGAUACGGGCAAACUAGAGUAUUGCAGGGGAGACUGGAAUUCCUGGUGUAGCGGUGAAAUGCGCAGAUAUCAGGAGGAACACCGGUGGCGAAGACGGGUCUCUGGGCAAUAACUGACGCUGAGGAGCGAAAGCGUGGGGAGCGAACAGG
rnacentral:rRNA from 1 species